UGGGGAAUCUUAGACAAUGGGGGCAACCCUGAUCUAGCCAUGCCGCGUGAGUGACGAAGGUCUUAGGAUCGUAAAGCUCUUUCGCCGGGGAAGAUAAUGACGGUACCCGUGGAGGAAGCACCGGCUAACUCUGUGCCAGCAGCCGCGGUAAUACAGAGGGUGCAAACGUUGCUCGGAAUGACUGGGCGUAAAGCGCGCGCAGGUGGCCCGUUAAGUCGGCUGUGAAAUCCCCUGGCUCAACCAGGGAAGUGCAGUCGAUACUGGCGGGCUCGAGUCCCGGAGAGGGUGGUAGAAUUCCCAGUGUAGAGGUGAAAUUCGUAGAUAUUGGGAGGAAUACCGGUGGCGAAGGCGACCGCCUGGACGGGUACUGACACUGAGGCGCGAAAGCGUGGGGAGCAAACAGGAUUAGAUACCCCCGUAGUCC
rnacentral:rRNA from 1 species